rnacentral:lncRNA from 1 species
AAAGAUUCAGCACUUGUUCAUCCACUCCAACCAGGAGGGGGAUGAAGAACACUCUCAGGACCUUACUCUAAGAGUAAGGUAGAGCUGGGAGCUGCAAGGAGCCUGGUUCCUCAGUCACUUCAUGGAGCAGAGAGCCUCCUCGCUACCUGUGCUGAACUGUAAGUGGGCACAAAAAAAUCUUUUUUAGGUGUUGAGCUUGUUUGUUAAAGGAUUUAGCAUACUUGAUUAUUAUGAUUAAUGUUAUUUCUUAUUUACUUCUUUAUAUCCUGUAAUCAGACAUAAUAGAUUGUUGGCAAACUUACUUUAUGUUUAUCAUUUUUACUAUAUAUUAAUUUAAAAAUAUUGUAUAAAUGUUAUAGAAAAUUUAGGAAUUAAUACAAAGUAGGAAGAGAAGAAACAAAUAUGAACAAUUCCUGCCACUAUAUUGCUAUAUUUCUUUUUAGGUCUUCCUUUUUUCUUUCUUCAAGGAUUUUUUUCUUUUCAUGUAGUUGAUAGCUUACUGGAUAGACAAUUUUGUACCUUUAUCUUUUGUAUUUUAUAUAAUGGUAUACUGUUUUCCAUGGUGUUAAAAAUUACACACUGUUUCAUUCUUUAGAUGUAACAAUAUUUAUUUAACUCUCCUCUGAUCAGUGGUGAUUUCUUCACAAUUAAAAAGUAGUGCAGUGACAUUGUCUUCAUCCACAAUGCUCUUUCUGUAAGGAAAUAACUUUAAUAAAAUUACUUGUUUUUUACAAACAUGCAUUUCUCUUUCAGUUCUUUUACCAGGGUGUUAUAAAGAGCUCCCUCUUACAGUGGAGGGUCCAGCAGAGGCCCUGUGACCAGAUAGCUUGGAUGUGCAUUGAGACAAGCGUGGCACCAGAG